AGCGGCGGCGGCCGGGAACCAUGCAUCAGAAGCUGCUGAAGAGCGCACAUUACAUCGAGCUGGGCAGCUACCAGUACUGGCCGGUCCUGGUGCCCCGCGGUAUUCGCCUCUACACCUUCGAGCAGAUCCCGGUGUCGCUCAAAGACAACCCGUAUAUCACCGACGGCUACCGGGCCUACCUGCCCUCCAGGCUGUGUAUCAAAAGUUUGUUUAUUUUAUCUAAUGAGACGGUAAACAUCUGGAGUCAUUUGCUGGGUUUCUUUCUCUUCUUCACCCUGGGAAUAUAUGAUAUGACGUCUGUGUUACCUUCGGCAAGUGCAUCCAGAGAAGAUUUUGUAAUUUGUUCUAUUUGUCUUUUCUGCUUCCAGGUAAGUCACUUCACACUGUUACUUGUGAAGAGAACUUUCAUCAGGCAGGCUUAUGCAUGUGGCUCACCACUUGCUUUGAAGAGCUCCCAAAAUGGCAAAUGGGUCUGUAUGCUUUGCUCUGUGGGAUAUCAUCUUUUUUCUUGUCAUCGGUCAGAAAAAACCUGUCGAAGAUGGAUGGCAUUAGAUUAUGCAGGAAUUUCUAUUGGAAUACUGGGCUGCUAUGUCUCAGGAGUAUUUUAUGCAUUUUAUUGUAAUAAUUACUGGCGUCAAGUAUACUUGAUCACAGUGCUUGCCAUGAUCCUGGCAGUGUUCUUUGCUCAGAUUCAUCCCAGUUACCUCACACAGCAAUGGCAGAGGCUCCGUUCUAUCAUCUUUUGUUCUGUUUCGGGAUAUGGAGUAAUCCCUACUCUUCACUGGGUUUGGCUCAAUGGAGGAAUUGGAGCUCCUAUUGUACAGGAUUUUGCACCCCGCGUAAUUGUGAUGUAUGUGAUUGCUCUUCUUGCUUUCCUAUUCUACAUCUCCAAAGUUCCAGAGCGGUACUUUCCAGGACAACUAAACUACCUCGGAUCUAGCCACCAAAUAUGGCAUAUCCUUGCAGUAGUGAUGUUAUAUUGGUGGCAUCAGUCAACAGUAUAUGUCAUGCAGUACAGACAUAGCAAGCCUUGUCCUGACUAUGUUUCACAUUUGUGAAGAAUUCAGGAAUGAAGAAUCAGGGAAUAGCUUGUCACAUCACAUGGCAUCCCACCUGGACAGAGUGUACGAUUUGAAGAUUGUGAUUGACUGGCAUAAAGCUGUACAGCUCUCCAUUUGGCAGUUGGUUGAAUCCAAGGAUGUAGAAGGUCAACUGUAUUUUAAGGCUUUUAAUCCUGAUCUAUAGACACAAAAGACGGUCAAAGCAUUUUCAAAGGGCAUCUGAGACCACAAUAUUUUCUAUUAAGUGUGCAAAAAAACAGAGCUCCAAAAUGAUUAGUAAGAGCUUUUGAUUUCCUAUUUGAAUCACUCCUCCAAUUCCUAUGAUGAAUCCUGGCAGACUGAACUCAAUAGGGUAUGUUACCUUAACCUACAGCUUACCUACAGUUCAAAGACACAUUAAACUAUGUCUACCAGCACUGGGAAUAUAGAUUAUUGGUAGAGUCUAGAAUGCCCAAGGUCCUGGAUUCAGUCCCCAAGAAAAAAUAAAAAUAAACACAAACACACAAACACACACAUGUUCUCUGAUAUUCCUCCCUACAAGAAUAAAAUCUAAUUCUGCUCUUUGUUUUUUUCCUAGUCUAAUUACAAUUUCUACUUUUCCAAAUAGCACUUUUCUUUAUUAAUAUUAUAAAUAAUAAAAUCAUGUAACACUAAGUAGAAGUACUAAAAUGUAAAUUAUGAAAUGCAAGUAAUAAUUUAAUAAAUUUCCAAAAAUGAUAUACCUGGAAAUAAGUCCCCAGUAAUAAGAAUGAAAUAAUUUUUCUUAUUAAAAAUAAGAUAGGAAUUAAUGGACUAUAGUAUGCCUGAGGCCCUUGGUUCAAUCUCCAGUACCAAUAAAUAAAUAAAUGGAUAUUGUGCUCUAUAUUCCUUAAGAUACUGAUGAAAGAAAUGUAUCAAUUACAUGACUGUUUUUUUUUAACUUUUGGUGUUAACUAGCAUCAAAAUAUUAAUUAGUCUAGUGAAAUUAAUUGGAAAGUACAAAAGAUAUUAAGCUGAAUUACUACAGUAUUCCCUACUUUAAUCUUAUCUUUUAGUAAUACUGCUCAUGGAAUCAUAGUUAUAAUACAUAUUUUUCCCUAAUUUUUGUUUAAUUACUAAAAUUUUUAAAACUUGGUUUAUCACCAAAAUCAUCUUGCAUACCCAAGGUUGGGAAACAUUGGAUUCAGUAUCUUCAAAUGCAUAUAGGACUUAUUUUAUUCUCUCUCCAAUGGAGCUGUGUACUACUGGAUGGGAACAUGGAGCAGGAAAGGGCUGAUUAUUUAAUAGGUAGAAACAAUUAUAUACUAUAGCCACUAGAGCUUAGGAAUACAGAACUUCCUAUAGGUAGCUACAUUUGUUUGGUGCCUCAGUGUUCCUUCAUCGAUAUUAUUAUACUACUUGAUAUCAGGUUAAUUUUGAGUAUAACAUCUUCUCUAGCAAUUUUAAAAGAGCUCUGUAAGCAGAUGUUCCUGCUUAUCAGUGGAAGGCAACAACUGUUUGUCUCUAAAUAUUAUCUUAGAAUGAUUUUCCCCUUUUCCCCAAAUCUAAAAUUCCUCCUCUUCUACUAUGUUAAUUUAUCUUUGGUAUGAAUAUCAAAUAAUAUUUCAAUAAGUUAAAAUAAACAUCCUCUACAUAUAUAUUAUCUUACAUUUUAUAAUUGCCCUAUUAUAUUAACUAUCAUAUUAACUAAUAUAAUUGCCCUAUUAUAUUAGUUAUCUGUCUCUACAUGGUAAAUUACACAAAACUUAAUAGUUUAAAACAACAACAAACAUUUAUUAUCUUAUACCCUUUCUUCCAGUGAGAAAUGUAGCAGUGAUUUAGCUGAAAGGCUGUUAUGUCUGAGUCUGCAUUGGCUGGUGUUGAAUGAUCUGUUUACAGGAUGGCUCACUAAUCUGACUUUGUACAGGAGGCCUCAGUCCCCUGCCACAAUGAUUCUAAUUAAUACAAUACCUUCGUCAGUAUCUUAAACUAUACAAUAUCAAGCAGAAUAUCCUAUUUUUAAUAUGGAAAAGUAUUCCAUUCUUAUCAUCACUAUGGGGGGACUAAUUAUGCAAAUUUAUUAGAUUACUACUUGUAUUUCAUAGUUUAUAUUUUAUUGAUUCUAAUUAGUUUAGAAUAUCAUAGCAUAUGCUUUAAUUUUACUAUUUACAAUGCAAUUAAUUUAUUCAAGAAAAAAAUGCUUUGUGAGAAAGAAAAACCUAUAACUAGAGUAUGCUAAUGACAAAUAAUGAUUUGUACAUUUAAGCUCUGCUCUCGACUUAAGACAAAUCUGUCCUAUUUCAUAUACUCCAGUUUUGUUUUAGGAAAGCACUUCAUUAAAUUCAUUUUUCCCCUUUCCUUCUCUAUUUCCCCCUAAUCAAUAAUUUAUCACUAUUGCUUUUUCUUUCUCUCUCUCUCUUAUCUCAUACACACACAGAAGUUGGGAGUUGUUCUAUAGCAAACUGUGUACUUUCACACUCUUUUGAGAUACACACAGUACAAUUAUGCUACCAAUGUUACUGCUUCUCAUGCCCAAUUCCCAGUUGAUGCUUGUGGAGACCUUUUCCCAGCCAAUGUUUUAAAUCCUGCAUUCACUAGAAAAAUACUUGCCUAGCAUUAUAAGAUGAAUCCAUUAUGGUUCCAACCUGAGCUGGAAGUGAUGAAGUGUAGGAAACUAAGGCUGGUGAAAACUCUUGAGGGGAGGUAAGAUAUUCAGGUGAUGCCUGCUGUUGGGAUUGCUGAUGUUGAGCUAGCAUCUGCUGCUGCAAGAAAGUCUGCUGAUACUGCUGCAUCUGAAACAAGAAUGAUAUUACAUAAAUCAAUGCUCAAGUCAAUAAAGUACUAUCAGCAUUGA